rnacentral:rRNA from 1 species
GACGAACGCUGGCGGCGCGCUUCACACAUGCAAGUCGAGCGAUCGACUCCGGGUCUUCGGACCUGGAGCACGGAGCGGCGAACGGGUGAGUAACACGUGGGUAACCUGCCCUCGGCACUGGGAUAACUCCGGGAAACCGGUGCUAAUACCGGAUAGCCUCCGAAGCCUGCGGGCGUCGGAGAAAAGGUAGCUUCGGCCUCUGGCCGAGGAGGGGCCCGCGGCCGAUUAGCUUGUUGGUGAGGUAAAGGCUCACCAAGGCGACGAUCGGUAGCUGGUGUGAGAGCAUGACCAGCCACACUGGGACUGAGACACGGCCCAGACUCCUACGGGAGGCAGCAGUGGGGAAUCUUGCGCAAUGGGCGAAAGCCUGACGCAGCGACGCCGCGUGGGGGAAGAAGGCCUUCGGGUUGUAAACCCCUUUCAGGAGGGACGAAGCCACUCGGGUUAAUAGCCCAGAGGGUGACGGUACCUCCAGAAGAAGCUCCGGCUAACUACGUGCCAGCCGCCGCGGUAAUAC